rnacentral:rRNA from 1 species
UGCCAGCCGCCGCGGUAAUACGGAGGGUGCAAGCGUUGUUCGGAAUUAUUGGGCGUAAAGAGCAUGUAGGCGGACUGUUAAGUCUGAUGUGAAAGCCCGGGGCUCAACCCCGGAAGUGCAUUGGAUACUGGCAGUCUUGAGUAUGUGAGAGGUGAGUGGAAUUCCGAGUGUAGAGGUGAAAUUCGUAGAUAUUCGGAAGAACACCAGUGGCGAAGGCGACUCACUGGCACAUUUCUGACGCUGAGGCGCGAAAGCGUGGGGAGCAAACAGGAUUAGAUA